UACAGAGGUCCCAAGCGUUGUUCGGAUUCACUGGGCGUAAAGGGUGCGUAGGCGGUCGGGUAAGUCUGACGUGAAAUCUCCGGGCCUAACCCGGAAACUGCGUUGGAAACUGCCUGGCUAGAGGAAUGGAGGGGAGACUGGAAUACUUGGUGUAGCAGUGAAAUGCGUAGAUAUCAAGUGGAACACCAGUGGCGAAGGCGAGUCUCUGGACAUUUCCUGACGCUGAGGCACGAAGGUCAGGGGAGCAAACGGG
rnacentral:rRNA from 1 species